rnacentral:rRNA from 1 species
GAUGAACGCUGGCGGCGUGCCUAAUACAUGCAAGUCGAGCGAACAGACGAGGAGCUUGCUCCUCUGACGUUAGCGGCGGACGGGUGAGUAACACGUGGAUAAUCUACCUAUAAGACUGGGAUAACUUCGGGAAACCGGAGCUAAUACCGGAUAAUAUAUUGAACCGCAUGGUUCAAUAGUGAAAGACGGUUUUGCUGUCUCUUAUAGAUGGAUCCGCGCCGCAUUAGAUAGUUGGUAAGGUAACGGCUUACCAAGGCAACGAUGCGUAGCCGACCUGAGAGGGUGAUCGGCCACACUGGAACUGAGACACGGUCCAGACUCCUACGGGAGGCAGCAGUAGGGAAUCUUCCGCAAUGGGCGAAAGCCUGACGGAGCAACGCCGCGUGAGUGAUGAAGGUCUUCGGAUCGUAAAACUCUGUUAUUAGGGAAGAACAAAUGUGUAAGUAACUAUGCACGUCUUGACGGUACCUAAUCAGAAAGCCACGGCUAACUACGUG